GACAGAGGGUGCAAACGUUGCUCGGAAUUACUGGGCGUAAAGUGUGCGCAGGCGGCCGAGCAAGUCGAGUGUGAAAGCCCCGAGCUUAACUUGGGAACUGCGCUCGAAACUACUUGGCUAGAGUGUGGCAGAGGGAGGUGGAAUUCCACGUGUAGCGGUGAAAUGCGUAGAGAUGUGGAGGAACACCGAUGGCGAAGGCAGCCUCCUGGGCCAACACUGACGCUCAUGCACGAAAGCGUGGGGAGCAAACAGG
rnacentral:rRNA from 1 species